AACAGGGAUUGCCCCAGUAACGGCGAGUGAAGCGGCAACAGCUCAAAUUUGAAAUCUGGCUCCCUCGGGGCCCGAGUUGUAAUUUGCAGAGGGAGCUUUUGGCGUCGGUCGUGGUCUAAGUUCCUUGGAACAGGACGUCACAGAGGGUGAGAAUCCCGUACGUGGCCGCCGGCCUUCGCCUUGUAAAGCCCCUUCGACGAGUCGAGUUGUUUGGGAAUGCAGCUCUAAAUGGGAGGUAAAUUCCUUCUAAAGCUAAAUACCCGCCAGAGACCGAUAGCGCACAAGUAGAGUGAUCGAAAGAUGAAAAGCACUUUGGAAAGAGAGUGAAAAAGCACGUGAAAUUGUUGAAAGGGAAGCGCUUGCGGCUAGACGUGCCCGCGGUUGAUCAUCCAGGCUCCGGCCUGGUGCACUCCUCCGCGGGCAGGCCAGCAUCAGUUCGGGCGGUCGGAUAAAGGCCUCUGUCACGUACCACCCCUCGGGGUGGCCUUAUAGGGGAGGCGCAACACGGCCAGCCCGGACUGAGGUUCCGCGCAUCUGCUAGGAUGCUGGCGUAAUAGCAGCAAGCGGCCCGUCUUGAAACACGGACCAAGGAGUCUAACAUCUAUGCGAGUGUUUGGGUGUCAAGCCCGAGCGCGCAAUGAAAGUGAACGGAGGUGGGAACCCUCACGGGUGCACCAUCGACCGAUCCUGAUGUCUUCGGAUGGAUUUGAGUAAGAGCAUAGCUGUUGGGACCCGAAAGAUGGUGAACUAUGCCUGAAUAGGGUGAAGCCAGAGGAAACUCUGGUGGAGGCUCGCAGCGGUUCUGACGUGCAAAUCGAUCGUCAAAUUUGGGCAUAGGGGCGAAAGACUAAUCGA
rnacentral:rRNA from 1 species